rnacentral:lncRNA from 1 species
AGUUUCAGCUCCUAGCUUCAGCUCUAUUUAAAUCUGGUUCAGAUUUCACAGCUCUAGGCUUUUCGGAUGUGGAUCACACCUAUGCUCAAAGAACUCAGCUCUUUGAUACCUUAGUAAAUUUCUUUCCUGACAGCAUGACUCCUCCUAAAGGCAACCUGGUGGACCUCAUCACACUGUGACUGAAGAAUCCCUGGAUAGAAAUGGAGCACAGGAGUCUGCUUUCAGUAUUUUGGAUUUCAACUCUGUUGGCUGACAGUUAGGCUGCAGUGACCGAGGACUGCACCAGAAUUUUGAAGGGAUCUUUGCUGUCACAAGUUUUAACCCUGUUCUGUCAUACCUAACCUCAACCCUAUAGUCCUCAUCCCAUUCCUAAAUUAGACUAAUAAAGUGAAAUUGAUAUACUUUCCAUUUAAAUACAUAUAUUUUUUCUUACUUUUAAGAAUUCAUGAAUAUAAAAGAAAAAAUAAUCAGGCAGUAUAUACCCUUUUCUGAUUUUUAUUUCAUUUUUAUAUAAUUGGGACAAGUAAGCACUGUUCACAGACUCAGUGCUACAAGAAUUGGGAUUUUGUUGUUGGGUUUUUCGGCCUUUUUUCUUUCUCCUUCCCUCCCAUUUCACUUUACCUCGCAUCACAGAACUGCUUGUAAGUGAUAUGUAACAUUUGUUUACCUCUUUACUUCAUUCUUAACAGUAUAUAGUUCUGUGGGGCAGUUGAUGUAUGUUUAAGUGAUAUAUGUGUCUUUGUUGACUAGAGUCUUGUAUUACAUUAAACAAUAGGAGGAACAGAGGGCUCAAAUUUAUGCUCCUUGUCCUAGAACUAAAAAGUGAAACCUGAGGUUGAUCCAGGCACUUAUCUGAGAUUGGUAUAUAGUAUUUCUAUGAUGAUAUAUUUUAUAGUGGAUAUUACAAAGCUUUGAGUCACAGAAACCUUAAACAGGCGAGAAUAUAGUUCAGAACCCUUAAGAGCCAUUCUCAAAAUUACCAGCAGGAGAAUUCUAGUAGUGAUUAAUAUGUUCAUUGAUACCUUUGUAACAAUUUUGGGUGAAAAUGACUUUUUCCCCCAGUAGCGCCAUGCAGGACCAGGCCUUUGAUUUCUUCCCUGUGCUAUCUCUUUGUAGCAUUUUCAUUUGGGAGGGUGAGUUUCCAGAGCUACGCUUUUGUUUAUUGCCAUACACAUUAGCUUCCCUAUGUCUACUUCUAAACACUGAUAUUUUAAAGAAUAAUGGUUCAUAGUUGUCCAGGGGAAUGCAACUGACUUGCAUUUCAUUAAGCACACAGCCCAGGCUUCUUUUAAUGGAGAAAAAGAAAAAUAGUGGUGCAAAUAUUUUUUUAUCAAACUGAGGCAGAUGGGCUUUUCCACUCUUCCUUUUGCUUAUUUGUUUUGGUUUUAGUUUGGUUUUUUGAUGAGGAGUGGAGGUACAUAUCAUUCCGUGAUAUGCUGUGGAAUGCAAUAUAGGAAACUUCUACCUGGCCAGUGCUUAUUUGCUCAGAAAGUGUGCUGCCUACAACUGAUACCCACCCUGCUUAAAGCAAGCUAAGUAUAAUUAAGUGGCCAUCAGUCAGUGGCUCUUCCUAGUGAAUGACUUUAGAGAAUUUAGUAUGUAUCUGUGUAGCAAGAUUAGGCCUCACCAAAGAGAGAAGAAAUUGAUUUGCACUUUUGAGAAGUCUCAUGUAUAAGAAUUGGGACUUUUUGUUUUUUGAAGGAAAGAGACUUUGAGGUCCCUCUUCAGUCUGUUGAUAUUACGUGGUUUCAUGAAAGUCUUUGGGAGUAGACAAAAAUAUACCUGUCUUAGUUCCAGGCUUGAAUCUUGGGCUCCUUGGCUUUCCAAGCAUAUCCCAAAGCAAUCAGUAGUGAUUUAUUAAACAAUUAGAUUUGUUCCUUACUUAUGAAAGAUAUAAUACAUAAUUCAGUAAAUACUAAGUUGUGUAGCUGCAGAAUAACCAACUGACUUUACAGGUGAGCAGAUAGAAUCUACUUACAUACUUACACAGCUUCAUAAAGGAUUUCCCUGAAUGACAUAAAACAUUAAUAUUGCUAAUAUUGUAGCCUGUUGAACUUGCUAAGAAUUUCUGAAUUUAAAAAGCUCUAGUUUUGCUUACUAUGAGUUCUGGCACUUUAAAAACAGUAACCAAAUGAAAUUCUGCUGCCCUCCACCAUUUAUUUUUAUGGUCAUUUUUUCCAUUAGUUCCUUAGACUCUAUAUUUACAGGGAACUCAGUUCUUGAACUCAGUGAUUUUGCUUUUAUUUUUCCCCAACUCUACUAGCUGGUUUUUGUUGUUGUUGUUGUUUGUUUUGUUUUUUGUUUUUUUUGUUUUUGUUUUUGUUUUUUUUGUCUUUUUGCUAUUUCUUGGGCUGCUCCUGCGGCAUAUGGAGGUUCCCAGGCUAGGGAUCCAAUCGGAGCUGUCGCCACUGGCCUGCACCAGUGCCACAGCAACACGGGAUCCGAGCUGCGUCUGCAACCUGCACCACAGCUCACGGCAAUGCCGGAUCGUUAACCCACUGAGCAAGGUCAGGGGCCGAACCCGCAACCUCAUGGUUCCUAGUCGGAUUCGUUAACCACUGCGCCACGACGGGAACUCCUAGCUGUGUUUUUAAACAGGCUUGUUUUUAGUUUCAUCUUUCUCACUUAAAAGCUUUUCCCUUUUCUUCAGUUAUAGAAUUUUUUUUCACUAACAUGUUUAAAUGGAGUUGAGUCAUAGCAAACCAUUUAGUGUUGCUUAAGUGACAUAGACUGUACUUAGCAGGCUAUUGUCUAGAUAAGUCAGAAUGUGUACUGUGGAGCUUGAAUGGGGCGCUGCUGGUAAUGAUUGCGGGAGAAUGUAGGGCUUCAUUAUAUCCAUGACCAGGAUUGACACAUUGCUCACCUUUCACAUCAGAGCCCUGAUCUGAAACCUGUUUAUAUAGUGUGGAGCUACCUGUGUUUCCAAGUAUUCCAGCAGUAUAAAUUAAAUAAUCUAAUUUGGUAUUUAGAUACAUUGUUGAGGUAGCCAAAUAUCUAUGCUUUCCUGCUUAAUUCUUCGAUGCUAGCUUAGUUAGUCCCAGAUUCAAACACCUUGUUUUAGAUGAACUAGUGGUGGUACAAUUUGCUCAAUUUCAUUAUCCCUAGCUUCAAGUCCAUGCCCAUUUCUCUUUUUCCUAGUGGAAUUUUUUUUUUUUUUUUUUUUUGGCCAUAGCAUGUGGCCAGGUCAGGGGUUGAACCUGUACCACAGCAGGGACCCAAGCUGCUGCAAUGACAACACCGGGUCCUUAACCUGAGCCACAGGGGAACUCCUCCAAUGGAAUAUAUUACUCCAAAAAAAGUAAACUAGAAAUAAGCUAGAGCUCUCAUAUUAUUUUCAGUGCUUGUACUUCAUGAGAAAUUAUCUGAUUUGCAAGAUACUUCUAAAGUGCAUUUGCAUUUUGUAGAAUAACAGAGACCUCCUGUGGCCAGCUUGAUUAAUUCAAAUACAUCCGUUUCUUAUGAAGCAAAGAAAUUCAGACUUGGGUGCCUAACUCCGUGCUAAAGCUGACAGUAUUAACUUUUAACAAGGUCUUUUUUGACCUGGUUUUCAUUAGAACUGACUUGCCCAUGUCUGAUAAGUCAAAACUAAUAGAAAACAUUAGAAAGUUGAUUUAUCAUGGGAAGUCUGGUUGGGUUUAGAGCUCAGUAAUUUAAGAUUGUAAAACUGCGUUCUUCAGUGAAAUACGUCUGCUGAAUAUAAAUAGUUUGCCAGCUUAUCUGUCUUGUGGAUCUCUUCUCAUCUGCCUUAAAAGUUCUAUUUAUAGAUACAUUAAUAGUUUCAUGUUUUAAAAUCUAAUUUACAAAUAAAAACUAGUUUGAGGCACUUCAUCAUUUGGUGAGAGAUUGAGAAUGAUGGCUGAUGAAUCAAAAAGCACUUGGAAAGGAAUAUGUAUCUGAUUUUUUCUGAAUUAUUUUCAGUGUCAUGGUUAAUUACGUGACGAAGUCACCCUAUAAUUAUUCUUAACACCAUGUGAAAUUCAUUGGGUAAUUGUGGGUCAUUUGAUUAUUUCCUGGGUGAAUGUUGUAUUAACUCUAGCUGGUUGAAUGCUGCAGGGCAGUUGAGAAUUAAAUUUGGAAUUGAUUUCUGUGGUAGAGGAUCAUUACGUUGGUUGCGUACUCGAAACAAGAUCAUCUAGCUAUUAAAAAUAAAUCAUUUGUUAACUCUUCUUAAAAAAUACGUGUUCAUAUGCAGUUUCUUCCUUUUGCAGACAUUCUGGCCUGCACGUUCCCUAAGUGUUCAAUUUUUAAGAUAGUCCUUGAUCUGAAAAGUGCAGGCUCCCUCAGAAAAAGUUUGUAGUUAUUAGAGGAGCAAUCAUAGAGGGUCUGCGUGUGACAACAGUUGUAGAUUACGUCUUUGGGUUCUUUCACUCACAAUUUUUAUAGUCACAUAACCUUAUUCUUGGGUGAUUUUUGACUGUGGCCUGCCUCUCACUGUUAUUUGUAUGAAUGCUGAAAUGAUGUGGAAGUUUUAAAGUUUGUUGAAAUGAUUCAUUAGGAGCUAACUAGAUCAGAACAUUUGUUUUAGCGAGGAAGAGUCAUGAUUGCAGUUUAUUGAUUUCUUCACCAAAUGCUUUCUCAUUUUUUUCCAAAAAAUAAAACUAUCUUAAGAGAUUUUAUUCAUACAUAAUCUUUAAACCUUGAUUUCUUCCUACCCACCAAAUACUUUCAAUUGUUUUCAUUAUUUUUCUUAGCUCAUCUGGCUUUAUUCUUUGCUUUUUUAGCACUAAACUUCCUAGAUUUUCUGUGGCAUUGCUUACAAGUGUUAUACUCCUUGCAGAAAACAGGUCAAAAUCUGAGGCAAACAUGCUCUUUUAUCCUUGUUUACAACAACAGAAUAGUGAAAUUAAAAAUCGUACAUUAUUAUAGAAUUUGUAAUGUUCAGGCACUGCUAUAAAAAAUACUUGAACCAUUUUCACUUAGGGAAUAGUAAUACAGCUGUAGAAGCUUUAGGAAAGGAGCCAGUGUUGGCUGCUGUCCCUGGCACUAGGACAUACAGUCAUAAAACUGUUGAUAAGGUGCAAGUUUCAUAGCAGAGCUCAUAGAAUUCAGCACUUCACCAGAAUGUCCAUUUGCCUAUUGUCCUCUCUGUAUUUUUAGCCUUUUCCCCCACUCCGACCUCCCCGAGUAGCAUUGAUUUUCUGCUAAAGUUGGAAUUUGUGUGAAGAAUUCACUUUUAAUUUCUGAGAUAACUGAAUAUCAGGAAUAGCUUUGCUUGCUAUGAAUUUGAUAUUCAUUUUUUCUUAAAUAAAAUUAGUGAUCUUAUAAAUGUCUCUCCCCCUCGAGAAUGUGCGUUUAGCUCGAAUUCUGAAUGACAAAGUCUUAUUCCCAAUCAUAGCCAGUGAUGAAACCCUCUGACAAUAAAUUCUAUAGCCCUUAACCCAAGGAGUUUACAGUAAACUAGGUUUUCUAGUGGUGCAGAAAUAUCUUUGUGGAAAAGCACGUCACUGUCUGUCUUUUUCUGUCAGGUAAAACUCUGCAGUUAUAGAUCUUGAACUGGAUCCCAAUUCAGAACUUAAGAACUUCAACACUAAAGGGUAGCUCUAGUUCAUCUUCCACAACAGUUAUUAUUUGAAAUAAGAUUUCCAAAUCUAUGCUAUCAUGUCCUCAAACACUAUCUUAACUGUAUUGAAAAUAGAACGUCAUAUGGCUGUUAUCUAAGGACUGAGGUCAGCAACAAAAAAAGUGGGUGGUGUUUAGCAGAGAAGUAGGCCACUUCUAUCACUUGUAAUUGUGAACUAAUUUGUCUUUUUAUUUGCUGGACAAACAGUCUCCAUGAACUUGUGCACGAUGUCCUGUUUUGCCUAUCUGUGGCAUUUUUACUUGGAGAUAGUGAACUUCAGGAACAGAACUAGAGAGAAUGAGGGUAUGUUAGAGGAAGAAUAAAAUAGGAGCUUUUUGCUCAUGGAUCUGAAGGUCCACAAAUCUAAAACAAAAGAAAGCUCUUCAUUUAUAACCCUAAAUUUAAUGCAGUGCUGAGAAGAAGAGGAUCAAAAGGGAUCAAAGUUCAGUUAUUCUGAAUAGUCUUUGGAAAGCAGCAUUUCUUGGUUAAUCGCUUUUCUUACCAUCUCCCAAAUACUUGAUAGCGAUCUUAAAACAGAAAACCCAGGGUAAUAGGCUCUAGAUCUUAAACUAGGUGAGCAGUUUCUUUUUUUUCUUUUUUUGUCUUUUGUCUUUUUAGGCCUGCACCUGCAGCAUAUAGAGAUUCCCAGGCUGGAUCAGAGCUGUAGCUGCCAGCCUACACCACAGCAAUGCCAGAUCCUUAACCCACUGAGCGAGUCCAGGGAUCAAACUUGCAACCCCAUGGUUCCUAGUCGGAUUCAUCUCCACUGUGCCACGACGGGAACUCCAGGUGAGCAGAUUUUUACGUACAGCUGAGUUCCUUGAUAAGGAUCCAGAGGGAAAAUCAGCAGUAAAACAUUUUAACAUGCAGUUUUGGGGGCGCCCAGGAGACUCGCUUUUUCAAAAAGUUUAACCUCUUACUGCAACACUGCUCGGUACCAUCUGGGAUGCUAGCAUUCACAGCAGUUAGUUCGGAUAUCUGAGCUGUCUGCCACAUGAAUACCAGCCUGAGGAGAUCAUCAUUCUUCAGUAUCAUUCAGUGCUUAACGAGUGCCAAAUUAAUUGGCAGGGAGGAAAAACGCUAAUACACUGAACAGGCUUGUGUGCAUGAUUAAGGAGCUACUCAAGUAACCAAUUUUGAGCUUAAUUUCACUCCUUUGUUAACAAAUCUCAAGAAAGCCUUUGUUACAGUUUCACUAGUAGUCAUUUGGUUGGUGUUCAUUUUCCAGCCCUUUAAAAUAGGAAGAAAAUUGUAAUUUCAUGUUCAACUUCUAACCCAUACAGAAUUGCACUGACAUCAAUUUAGUUUCCAUGUUUUAAAAUAAUUAUACAUAGUCCAAAGGGUCUCUGUUUAUUCUACUUUGCCAGGAAAUACAUGAGUUCUGGGCUUGGCCUUAGAAGUAUGUAAUAAUUUUGGCUUAUUCUGUAGGUUUCCUCCACAUCUAUAAUAUGAUUAAUUAGAGACGGUAUCUAGAAUAAGUUCAACUCCAUUGCAACUGGCAGAGCUUUAUAAAUUCAUUUUGCAACAAAGGAAAAGACCUUAUACCAUCAGGGCCCUGCCAUCAGAUUUUGGCAAGUGACUGUUUUAGCGCGUUGCCCUGUAGUUGCUGUGUUUACCUUAUUAAGAUGAAAGAAGGAAAACUGAGGGCAGAGGUAUGUAGCUUUAUAUUUCCUGAAUUGCCUCUUUUAGAAGUCUUAGAGAACUUGCAUCUUUGUAAAGGCUUGGCUUAAUUUUACACACACAUAUUAACUACACUUGCAAGAGCACUGAAUACAAAGUUAUAAGACAUGUUAAAGUAAUUGUAUACCCAACCCCAAAUUCAGUAGUAGGGUAUUAAAGUCCAAAUGUUUAAAUGUGGGUAGUCUAUGGGGAAGAUACAUGUUUUUGAAAGUCAUAUACAUAUUUCCUCUUUGAGAUAUAUUUUUCUUUCAAAAACAAGAAAAACGACCUAGUGACCAGUUGUAAAUUGUUUUCUCCCUCAAUUGUAAACCACCCUUUAGUGAAAUAAAAGUGGACUCUCUUAGGCGUUACAUUUAGCUUGACCAAGAGAUGCUGUGAUUGUGUCAUUCUUUAAGCCUGAUUGCUUUUUUGACUUAUGUAAAAUGUCUUUUCAAUGGAAUGAAAAUAGCAUAGUAUUAAUUUUCCUUUACAUAUUGUCUUCAGCUCAGUGUAGAAAUUGUAAAGUAAGGAGACAUGUUUCUAUGAGCAGAUUCUUUGAUGGAGAUAGGUUUUUCUUCCCUGUCACCACUUCAAAAUCUGUACAACUGAAUCUGCAGCCUCAGAAGAGUACAGGAAAGCUUAGGGUCUCCUUUUCUUGUGUUGAUCUUGGCUACAAAAAAUUUUCCAUCUUUUCAAUGGAAGUGUGUGUGUUAUAUGCAGCUUGGGAAAGAUGUUAGUUUUUUUGUUUGUUUGUUUGUUUGUUUGUUUGUUUUUUAAGUCAACUAUUAACAAAUUCGAAGUACUUAUUGGCCAGAAAUGAAGAUCUCUUUAGAUAGAGAUAGAGCCUCAAAACCAAAGUUGGACUGGAGAUUAGGUUGAGAGGGAAGAUGAAGCUCCAUCCAUAGCCAAUAGAACCGUGUCUUUCUGGGUCUGCUUUUUAAUGCUAUUGAGAGCUCCUUUUCUGUUCCAACAGCUCCUAGACUGGAAAUAGGAUAUUACAGUGAAAGUUGUAGAGCGCCGAACAUCUUUUAUGGGCCUUUUCGAUAACAACAUGUUGUUUUUUACGAUUGAAAAAAUAUUUAUCAUAGAAAUUUAGGAAAUUAUUACUGAAGUAAAGAAAGCAAGCCACUAUUAUUUAACUGGUGAGACUCAGGCAUUUUAUUUUCCUGACUUUCUUCUGUUACCCAACAUGGUGAAGGCCGGAAGAAGUAAAACGAAACAAAAAUCUUGACAGAGCCCUUCCUCCUCGUCUUUUACCGCACGUGUGGAGUCUCAGCCCUUGCUAUAUUCCUUUAAAGAAAGCGUUGCCCUUUUCUAGACAGUCCGAAAGCAAUUCUGUUGAUAUAUAUCUUUCAAGCCUAAAUUAUAGAUGUAUUACCCCAAAGCUGCCUUGUUCAGGUCAUUGGAUGUUUUAUCUCAAAGAUUAAUUUGAAUUUUUCAGCCCUUUUUGCACCAUUAUAGAAGUUUGGAGCAUAGUCCCACCCAUGAAGAGCUUUCUGUUUAGAUGGACUUUUUAAUAUGAUGAAACUCACACCCAGAAAGGAUGAAGUACUUUUGAAAGGCCAAGUGUACGCAAAGCAAAACAGACAAAUUUAACGUCAAGUAUAUAAAUAAGGAAUCCUUGAAAACCAGAGCUCCCUUACCGUGCUUAGCAAACGUCUCUCCCCCAAAAAAACGCAUUCUUCUGUUUACCAGCUAAGAUUUAGGAUGUUUGUAUUUCAUUAGUCCUUUUCUUAACGUAUGAAGGAAGAAACUGCAGCCUUUCAGGUUCUAUUCCUUCCUUUCCCCUCAGUAGCGACCUGCAUCCCGUACCUAAACCAGAAGUGGAAAUCGCGAGGGUGGGAAGUCCGGAACACCCGGCAUGAGCUAGUCGGAGGUUUUAAACAGGAGUGUUUUGAGACAUCAGGUGUCUUCUCACAUCAUUCUUGUUCUAAGUCAUUGUUGGGCUGUGUUGCGUGUGUUUUGCAGUCUUCUCCACCCCUCUCAUGAUCCUCCUUGCUUUAAUCUUAUUUUCAACCAAUCUAUAUGGGCUUUUUAGGUUUUCGUUUUGUUUUGUUUCUUAGUACAAAUAAUGUUCUGAUCCCAGUUUUGGUGAAUGUGUUAACACUGCUUUGUGAAUAAAAUGAGUGAUCUGCUGAACAAUUGCAGUUGUAGAAUUAUGUUGUAUGUAAUGUACAUAUGGAGAAAGAAUGUAUUUUGUUCAUUUUCUUAAUAAAAAGUUAUAUAUGGACGCUAAAAGA